GACGAAGGGCGCAAGCGUUAUCCGGAAUUAUUGGGCGUAAAGAGCUCGUAGGAGGUUUGUCGCGUCUGCCGUGAAAGUCCGGGGCGCAACUCCGGAUCUGCGGUGGGUACGGGCAGACUAGAGUGAUGUAGGGGAGACUGGAAUUCAUGGUGUAGCGGUGAAAUGCGCAGAUAUCAGGAGGACCACCGAUGGCGAAGGCAGGUCUCUGGGCAUUAACUGACGCUGAGGAGCGAAAGCAUGGGGAGCGAACAGG
rnacentral:misc_RNA from 1 species